rnacentral:rRNA from 1 species
UACGUAGGGGGCAAGCGUUGUCCGGAAUCAUUGGGCGUAAAGCGCGCGUAGGCGGCCAGAUUAGUCCGGUGUGAAAGUCAGAGGCUCAACCUUUGAAUGCCGCUGGAAACUGUCUGGCUUGAGUCCGGAACGGGCGAGUGGAAUUCCUGGUGUAGCGGUGAAAUGCGCAGAUAUCAGGAGGAACACCAAUGGCGAAGGCAGCUCGCUGGAACGGUACUGACGCUGAGGCGCGAAAGCGUGGGGAGCAAACAGG